AGUGAACGCUGGCGGUAGGCCUAACACAUGCAAGUCGAACGGCAGCACAGUAAGAGCUUGCUCUUACGGGUGGCGAGUGGCGGACGGGUGAGGAAUACAUCGGAAUCUACUUUUUCGUGGGGGAUAACGUAGGGAAACUUACGCUAAUACCGCAUACGACCUACGGGUGAAAGCAGGGGAUCUUCGGACCUUGCGCGAUUGAAUGAGCCGAUGUCGGAUUAGCUAGUUGGCGGGGUAAAGGCCCACCAAGGCGACGAUCCGUAGCUGGUCUGAGAGGAUGAUCAGCCACACUGGAACUGAGACACGGUCCAGACUCCUACGGGAGGCAGCAGUGGGGAAUAUUGGACAAUGGGCGCAAGCCUGAUCCAGCCAUACCGCGUGGGUGAAGAAGGCCUUCGGGUUGUAAAGCCCUUUUGUUGGGAAAGAAAAGUAGCAGGUUAAUACCCCGCUGUUCUGACGGUACCCAAAGAAUAAGCACCGGCUAACCUCGUG
rnacentral:rRNA from 1 species